rnacentral:rRNA from 1 species
CCGCAUAAGCGCACAGUAAGACAUCUUACCGUGUGAAAAACUCCGGUGGUACAGGAUGGUCCCGCGUCUGAUUAGCUAGUUGGUGAGGUAAUAGCUCACCAAGGCGACGAUCAGUAGCCGGCCUGAGAGGGUGAACGGCCACAUUGGGACUGAGACACGGCCCAAACUCCUACGGGAGGCAGCAGUGGGGAAUAUUGCACAAUGGAGGAAACUCUGAUGCAGCGACGCCGCGUGAGUGAGGAAGUAUUUCGGUAUGUAAAGCUCUAUCAGCAGGGAAGAUAAUGACGGUACCUGAGUAAGAAGCACCGGCUAAAUACGUGCCAGCAGCCGCGGUAAUACGUAUGGUGCAAGCGUUAUCCGGAUUUACUGGGUGUAAAGGGAGUGCAGGCGGUCUUGCAAGUCAGAUGUGAAAACCCAAGGCUCAACCAUGGGACUGCAUUUGAAACUGUGAGACUAGAGUAUCGGAGAGGUAAGUGGAAUUCCUAGUGUAGCGGUGAAAUGCGUAGAUAUUAGGAAGAACACCAGUGGCGAAGGCGGCUUACUGGACGAUUACUGACGCUGAGGCUCGAAAGCGUGGGGA